CGCCCUGCUGCUGGGGGCGGGGGCACCGCGGCGAGAGGCCUGGCGCACACAGGGCGUGAGACCGCGGCUGGACGCUUCCUCCGCCUGCUCGUGUCGGUGAGGUUGUCCCUGAGACCAGCGGGGCGUCGUCCGCUUCUCGGUGCGGGACGUUGACUUGGAGAGGCCACGAUCCUGGUGCCAGCUUCGGCGGUGCCAGUGCCAAGAACCCGGACAUCCUGCUGGCACGGAAUCAAAUGAUUGAAAAAAAAUGCUGGAAGAAAAUGAUAUAAAAAAGAGAUUUGAAGGCUACAAGUGGGU
rnacentral:lncRNA from 1 species